rnacentral:rRNA from 1 species
GACGAACGCUGGCGGCGUGCCUAAUACAUGCAAGUCGAGCGAGACUCUUCGGAGUCUAGCGGCGGACGGGUGAGUAACACGUGGGCAACCUGCCUGUAAGACUGGGAUAACACCGGGAAACCGGUGCUAAUACCGGAUAAUCCUUUUCCUCUCAUGAGGAAAAGCUGAAAGUCGGUUUCGGCUGACACUUACAGAUGGGCCCGCGGCGCAUUAGCUAGUUGGUGAGGUAACGGCUCACCAAGGCGACGAUGCGUAGCCGAACUGAGAGGGUGAUCGGCCACACUGGGACUGAGACACGGCCCAGACUCCUACGGGAGGCAGCAGUAGGGAAUCUUCCACAAUGGACGAAAGUCUGAUGGAGCAACGCCGCGUGAGCGAUGAAGGCCUUCGGGUCGUAAAGCUCUGUUGUUAGGGAAGAACAAGUACCGGAGUAACUGCCGGUACCUUGACGGUACCUAACCAGAAAGCCACGGCUAACUACGUGCCAGCCGCCGCAGUAA